rnacentral:rRNA from 1 species
CGUUACCGUGAAAAAAUUAGAGUGUUCAAAGCAGGCAGAUCCAAUUUUCUGCCACCGAAUACAUUAGCAUGGGAUAAUGGAAUAGGACCCUGUCCUCCUAUUUUCAGUUGGUUUUGGCAGCGCGAGGACUAGGGUAAUGAUUAAUAGGGAUAGUUGGGGGCAUUAAUAUUUAAUUGUCAGAGGUGAAAUUCUUGGAUUUAUGAAAGAUUAACUUCUGCGAAAGCAUCUGCCAAGGAUGUUUUCAUUAAUCAAGAACGAAAGUUAGGGGAUCGAAGACGAUCAGAUACCGUCGUAGUCUUAACCAUAAACGAUGCCGACCAGCGAUUAGGAGACGUUGAAUACAAAACACCACCAUCGGUGCGGUCGUCCUUGGCGUCGGUUUCGGCCGGCGCGAGGGCGGCUUAGCCCGGUGGCACCGGUGAAUGACUCCCCUAGAG